AGAGUUUGAUCAUGGCUCAGAAUGAACGUUGGCGGCGUGGAUUAGGCAUGCAAGUCGAACGGGCCGCAAGCCAGUGGCGCAAGGGUGAGUAAGGCGACGGUAACCAACCCCAGGAUUGGGUAUAGCCGCGGGAAACCGCGGGUAAUCCCCAGCGACGCAACGACCCCGGCAUCGGGGUCUUGCCAAAGCUUCGGCGUCCUGGGACGGGCUGUCGUGGUAUUAGCUUGUUGGCGGGGUAACGGCCCACCAAGGCUCUGAUGCCUACCGGGCGUGCGAGCGUGGCCCGGCACACUGGGACUGAGACACUGCCCAGACUCCUACGGGAGGCUGCAGUCGAGAAUCUUCGGCAAUGGGCGCAAGCCUGACCGAGCGACGCCGCGUGGAGGAUGAAGGCCUUCGGGUUGUAAACUCCUGUCGAGGGGGAAAAAGGGCCGCAAGGCCUUGAUUGAUCCCUGGAGGAAGCACGGGCUAAGUUCGUGCCAGCAGCCGCGGUAAGACGAACCGUGCGAACGUUAUUCGGAAUCAUUGGGCUUAAAGCGCGUGUAGGCGGAUUCGUGCGUCUGUCGCUGAAAUCCCCCGGCUCAACCGGGGAACGGGCGCGGAUACGACGAGUCUGGAGGGGCAUAGGGGGACCUGGAACUUCCGGUGGAGCGGUGAAAUGCGUUGAGAUCGGAAGGAACGCCCGUGGCGAAAGCGAGGUCCUGGAUGCCUACUGACGCUGAGACGCGAAAGCCAGGGGAGCGAACGGGAUUAGAUACCCUAGUAGUCC
rnacentral:rRNA from 1 species